rnacentral:lncRNA from 1 species
CAGAGGAACUCUACUGUAUUCUCACUAUGAGAACUUUGCAAUGAAAGAAGGAGAAACCAUUCAAGAAAUGUACACAAGGUUCACUAUACUGACAAAUGAGCUAAAAUCUCUUCGAAGGAUUAUUCCUGAAGAAGAUAGAGUUGAGAAGAUAUUGAAUGGCGUUUUCCAUAUCACUUGGGAUAGCAAAAUCACUGCUAUCUAGGAAUCAAAGAAUAUUUCCACUCACCCACUAGAUGAAUUAAUUGAAAAUCUAACUGCUUAUGAACUUAAGAUACAAACCAUGAAGAUGGAUGUACCUAAGAAGUAAAGGAGCUUGGCACUCAGAAUCACUGAAGGUUCUGAUCUAGAAAAUGAUGAAAUGUCCAUGAUCACCUGGGACUUCAAGAAGUACCUGUCACGACCCAAACCGAUGGGCCACGACGGGUGCCUGAGUCAUACCUAUCAAACACCCCUAAACAUGCGUCUAAGAAAUGAACCUGAAUAACAUCUGCUGCAUUACAAAAUUAACAUACAUGAAGGAAACCUGUCAUCAAGGCAUAUGUACGUAUACAUGCAGAAUACAGUGGGCGAGCCGGAAAGGCUGAUAUAGACAACCAUACAUCCAAAACGGAAAGUCGACAAGGCCACACACAACCCAACUAGACAUACUAUUUACAGACUUCUAAUAGAAACAUAACUGUACAAAGACAGGACUGAGCCACGUCAUACAUACAUACAUACAUAUAUAUAUAUAUAUAUAUAUAUAUAUAUACAAAUGUAUCGUACCAAAAUCAAAGCAGCUCCAGAUCAAGUGGAGCACGCCAACUCUCGCUAAUCAGGGAUCCUAAGAAGAGGGACCGUCAGCUUGCCUACUUGCACCUGCGGGCAUGGAAUGCAGGCCCCGUGAAAUAGGGCAUCAGCACAAAAAAUGUACUAAGUAUGUAAGGCAUGAAAAUAAGUACGUAAAAGACAUAGAUGAAACAUGGAAUACAGAAAUACCUUUAAAUCUGAAUAACUCUGUAACUUUUGAAACAUUUAUAAUAUCAUGCAUAUGUGUAUAAAUGUCGUGUCAUGCAUAGGUAUGGGUGUACAAAAUAUCACCAAGUCACUGAGGGCAUCCCAUCAUAUCGUCUCGGCCACUAUGGGAAACAUCAUCAAUAUAUACCAGCUGAUUAGAUGGUGGUGCGUAUAUAACGCCAUAACCUCUUCUCAUAUCUCAUAUACAUACAUAUAUACACGUAUAUAAUGCUGUUUGAAUCAUAUUUCAGCCACUGUGGGCAACAUCAUUAUCAUAUACCAGUUGAUCAGGCGGUGGUGCGUAUAUAACAUCGUAANNNNNNNNNNNNNNNNNNNNNNNNNNNNNNNNNNNNNNNNNNNNNNNNNNNNNNNNNNNNNNNNNNNNNNNNNNNNNNNNNNNNNNNNNNCUACGUAUUAUAUUGAGACCCAUGAACAGAAGAUAAUAAUAAUUCUCAUGGGGAAUCAAGAAUAUAGACACCCCUACUAUUUCUAUGAAUAGAGUAAUUUAUAGAAACUGUAUAUUUAUUUGUUUCUUCAGUACAAUUUGGACCAUGCCAAAAGAAAGAAGGGAGGGACUUAACAUACCUGGAGUAGGAACAACUCCGUAUAAUUAUCCCGUUGAAAACCUUCGUGGAUUGAACUUAGAACCCAAAAAUCAAAUUUAAGCUUCUGCGCUUUUGAACUUGAGGAACGAAAUUAGAAAAUUCUUUUUGGCUAAGUAGUUGAAUUUGUUUGGACGAAAAUGUUCUGCUUCAAUGUUCUUGGUUUCAAAACCAAGAAUAGAAUUGUUGGCUAAGAGUUUUGAACGGCAAUGAUUCCGUUUCCAUGUUUUUGGUUUCAAACCAAAGAAAUGAUUUUGAAGCUUAAAUUGUCUAAUUUGGAUAAGACUUUACAAGUCUUACCAAGACUUCAAUU